rnacentral:pre_miRNA from 1 species
GUGGCCGAUCGUGAGUGUUUGCGACGGUUAGCGUCUGGUAUCGGUGCUCACCGGGUGAACAUUCAUUAUCGGCCCAUUG